rnacentral:rRNA from 1 species
CAGCACCUCAAGUGGUCAGGAUGAUUAUUGGGCCUAAAGCAUCCGUAGCCUGCUUUGUAAGUUUUCGGUUAAAUCCAUACGCUCAACGUAUGGGCUGCCGGGAAUACUGCACAGCUAGGGAGUGGGAGAGGUAGACGGUACUCGGUAGGAAGGGGUAAAAUCCUUUGAUCUAUUGAUGACCACCUGUGGCGAAGGCGGUCUACCAGAACACGUCCGACGGUGAGGGAUGAAAGCUGGGGGAGCAAACCGGAUUAGAUACCCGCGUAGUCC